GACGAACGCUGGCGGCGUGCCUAAUACAUGCAAGUAGAACGCUGAAGAGAGGAGCUUGCUCUUCUUGGAUGAGUUGCGAACGGGUGAGUAACGCGUAGGUAACCUGCCUUGUAGCGGGGGAUAACUAUUGGAAACGAUAGCUAAUACCGCAUAACAAUGGAUGACACAUGUCAUUUAUUUGAAAGGGGCAAUUGCUCCACUACAAGAUGGACCUGCGUUGUAUUAGCUAGUAGGUGAGGUAACGGCUCACCUAGGCGACGAUACAUAGCCGACCUGAGAGGGUGAUCGGCCACACUGGGACUGAGACACGGCCCAGACUCCUACGGGAGGCAGCAGUAGGGAAUCUUCGGCAAUGGGGGCAACCCUGACCGAGCAACGCCGCGUGAGUGAAGAAGGUUUUCGGAUCGUAAAGCUCUGUUGUAAGUCAAGAACGAGUGUGAGAGUGGAAAGUUCACACUGUGACGGUAGCUUACCAGAAAGGGACGGCUAACUACGUGCCAGCAGCCGCGGUAAUACGUAGGUCCCGAGCGUUGUCCGGAUUUAUUGGGCGUAAAGCGAGCGCAGGCGGUUUGAUAAGUCUGAAGUUAAAGGCUGUGGCUCAACCAUAGUUCGCUUUGGAAACUGUCAAACUUGAGUGCAGAAGGGGAGAGUGGAAUUCCAUGUGUAGCGGUGAAAUGCGUAGAUAUAUGGAGGAACACCGGUGGCGAAAGCGGCUCUCUGGUCUGUAACUGACGCUGAGGCUCGAAAGCGUGGGGAGCGAACAGGAUUAGAUACCCUGGUAGUCCACGCCGUAAACGAUGAGUGCUAGGUGUUGGAUCCUUUCCGGGAUUCAGUGCCGCAGCUAACGCAUUAAGCACUCCGCCUGGGGAGUACGACCGCAAGGUUGAAACUCAAAGGAAUUGACGGGGGCCCGCACAAGCGGUGGAGCAUGUGGUUUAAUUCGAAGCAACGCGAAGAACCUUACCAGGUCUUGACAUCCCGAUGCUAUUUCUAGAGAUAGAAAGUUACUUCGGUACAUCGGUGACAGGUGGUGCAUGGUUGUCGUCAGCUCGUGUCGUGAGAUGUUGGGUUAAGUCCCGCAACGAGCGCAACCCCUAUUGUUAGUUGCCAUCAUUCAGUUGGGCACUCUAGCGAGACUGCCGGUAAUAAACCGGAGGAAGGUGGGGAUGACGUCAAAUCAUCAUGCCCCUUAUGACUUGGGCUACACACGUGCUACAAUGGUUGGUACAACGAGUUGCGAGUCGGUGACGGCAAGCUAAUCUCUUAAAGCCAAUCUCAGUUCGGAUUGUAGGCUGCAACUCGCCUACAUGAAGUCGGAAUCGCUAGUAAUCGCGGAUCAGCACGCCGCGGUGAAUACGUUCCCGGGCCU
rnacentral:rRNA from 1 species